AAUAUUGCACAAUGGAGGGAACUCUGAUGCAGCAACGCAGCGUGAGCGAUGAAGGUCUUCGGAUCGUAAAGCUCUGUCCUUGGGGAAGAAGGUCUUCGGACUUGACGGUACCUAAGGAGGAAGCCCCGGCUAACUCCGUGCCAGCAGCCGCGGUAAUCCGGAGGUGGCAAGCGUUGUUCGGAUUUAUUGGGCGUAAAGCGCGCGCAGGCGGUCUUUUAAGUCUGAUGUGAAAUCUUACAGCUUAACUGUAAGCGGUCAUUGGAAACUGGGGGGCUUGAGUGCAGAAGAGGAGAGUGGAAUUCCAUGUGUAGCGGUGAAAUGCGUAGAGAUAUGGAGGAACACCAGUGGCGAAGGCGACUCUCUGGUCUGUAACUGACGCUGAGGCGCGAAAGCGUGGGGAUCAAACA
rnacentral:rRNA from 1 species